ACAUGCAUAUAAGAGGUCUAAGUUGCAUAAUCGAGUUGGAGUCACAUUUGUCGAGUCAAGGAUGUUUAAGUUGAUAAGUUGUGAAGUUGUAAUUGUUUAUACAAACUAUGAUUGAAGUGCUAAAUGA
rnacentral:pre_miRNA from 1 species